CAUAUUAAAUAGAAGUAUCAAUCAAGCGUCGAACGUGAAGCAUCGUGAAAUUAUUUGCUAAAGACAUGUCACAUGAUCAACAUUGACGAAUAGCAAGCUCACGAUGCUCGACGCUUGACGCUGCUAUGUGAAAGUACCUUUAGAUAAACUUUAAGAAUCGAAUGGAGGGAAUGCGCAAUGCACUUAUCUAUCCCAUAUUUUUUAUCUCUGUUGCGCAGUUCCCUCUAUUUCGAUUUCGCGUGAUUUCGUGGGACUGGGAUUUUCGUCUUAUUCAAAUGUUAUCACUGGACGAGUUGUUGCAAGUGUAAACCAGCGUAAACGUACAAACUACCAGUCUUGUGAGAUCACUUGAGCGAGAUAGUGUGUCUCGUCUCGCUUUAGGUGUUAUAUCAUCUUACCCAUUUUUUGAAAAGCAUUUCUGGCUUCGACUAUGCAUUAAUACACUAUUUGUCUUGAUUAUAUCAUUAUUUCGUCUUAUUCACUUGUUUUCACGAUUUAUUUACGAUUCUGACCGGAAUUGCCAUCAUUUUUGCGGCGAAUGCCAUUAAUUUUGAAGAAGAAGAAGAAGUGCAAACUACCAUCAACCAUUAUAUAGCAGUUUAGUUUAUAGCAAUAUUUGUUAUUUAAUAUUCGCGAUGACUGACGAAACAUGUCGAUUCAUAAUCUAUUGAGUGGAAAUCCAGAGAAUCAAAAGAAAAUAAAGAAUCAACGUGUGAUUUAUAUUAAAACUGUGCUGUUUGUGUGAUGUGACACUACAAUCAUAAAACCGAAAAAGAGAAAUCUGUGGUACCCUCGUCAUGGAUUAAUCAAGAUAAGUCAUGCAAAUGGCUACCAAAGAAAUUCUCUAAUAACAAAAUUACGCGAUUUAUUAUGAGUUUGACUGAAUCUACCUCUGAGUUUAAUAAUUAUCCAGUUACAAUUAUGUAUAAAUAUGACAAUAAAUAUCGUAAUGUUGUUAAAGCAUGUAAAUUAGCCGAAGAUGAUGGUGAUCUUAACACAGCAGCAGGAGAAACUGAUUUGGAAAGGCCUAGAGAAAAAAACGUAAAAGAUAAUGAAAUAUUGAAUGUAAAAGAAAUUAAAGAAAAUGUUACAGAACUUCUAAAUAAAAAAGAGGAUUGAACGAAAAAGGACAAUGAAAUUAAAGUAACAAAUAAAGUUAAAAAACGUCUACAAAGAAAAAAAAAUGUCCAAAAAAGAAUAAUAACAGAGAAAUUCUAAUCAAAAAUCCUUUCCUAAAAUCAGACAAAGACAAUAUUAUAUAAUACAUAAUGAUACAUCAGCACAUUUUAAUGUUGCUAUAAAAGAUGCAAUUCUGUCUACUAAGACACGUUUUAAUAACUUGCUUACAAGUGAGGAAAGUGAACCUAUUGCCUGUAGCAGUCAAUUGGAAACAAAUACAUUAUCUGAAAAUAAUUGACUAUAUAAUUCUAUUGAUGAUACUGACUCGAAAGAGUGAUGAAGCAAUACUCAUAGGAAAAUUACUGGCAAAAAUAUUUUCAAAUUCACUGGCUAGGAUUAUUAAUUAUUCCGGUUCAGGAUCUAUAAAACUAAAACUUCAAAACACAAACAUUCUUACAGUAAUUGAAUAUGCUAUUAUCAAAAAGAUCUCAUCAUGCGAUGUAACAGAAGUGCAAUCGAAAUUAUGCGAUGGUUCUCCACAAGUAAU